AAAGAACUUUGAAGAGAGAGUUCAAGAGGACGUGAAACCACUGGGGGCUAAGCGGAUAGAGUUGACGAGACUGGCGGCAAUCAAUGUUUGCCUUCUGCUCCGCUGCGUUGCGGGCCUGCUUGAUUGAGGCCGGGCGUGGUGCGAUGUGGGAGGUGGGCGUGCUUUUGCUGUCGGUAUACGCUGAGAUGUUUGGUUGCCCCUUCCGAAGGGCGUAGAGUGGCCCACGCUUGCGUGGUAGUCUUCUGCGUUCGUAGGUUGAUGUGGCGGCCAGAUAGCUGCAAGCCUUGCCUCUGCGCCUUGGCGUAUCUGGCGGCGGCCGGUCGUUCGGAUGGCUUGCCAUCUCGGGCGUCUGCGUUGUCGUCGGGUGCGUUUGGGCCUAGGGCUUGUUCUCGGUGUGAGAAGUUGACCACCUAUCCGACCCGUCUUGAAACACGGACCAAGAAGUCUAGCAUAUGCGCGAGUCAAUGGGUGUUAAACCUAACGGCGAAAUGAAAGUGAAGGGCACUUGUGCCUUAUAUGUGAUCCUUCGGCUAUUGUCGUCGGCGCAACAUAGCCCCAUGCUAACUGCUUGCAGUGGUGUGGCGGUAGAGCGUAUAUGCUGGGACCCGAAAGAUGGUGAACUAUGCCUGAGCAGGAUGAAGCCAGAGGAAACUCUGGUGGAAGUCCGAAGCGGUUCUGACGUGCAAAUCGAUCGUCUGACUUGGGUAU
rnacentral:rRNA from 1 species